CUCUCUAUAGUAACAGAAUUCUCUAAGAUACAUUAGAAAAAUCUUCUUUCAAACAUGUUUUUUCCUCAAAUGCUUCUGGAAGACAUAAAGUUUAGGCACAGGGUUUCUUCUCACUUAAGUGGAGAAAAAAAAUGGAGAUGCUAAGACAUAAAAUAAGUUGUAUAUUCUAGUGAUUAACUUGGGCAGAUUUCUGAUUUGCCAUCUAAACUCUGGAUCCAAAUAACAUGAAAGUAAAAAUAACUACAGAACUGAUGACUUGUUUCUGGUAAGUAUUGUCAUCUCUCACUGAAAAUUUUUAGUUUUAAUUAAUUCAUGAAAGCUAUGCAAGCCUAUUUUUUCCUAGAUUAAAUUAUAGAGUAUCAACUGCAGGACUUAUAUACAGAGUUGAAGCAUUUCAUUGGCAUACUUAAUCCAGACCAGUUUUAAACUUCAUUGAGGAAAAUAUUUAUGAUGCUCUUUUUAUGGGACAUAAAAAGAGGAAUCUCUUUUUCAGAAUUAACCAAUCUAGAACAGUUUUUUGAAAUCUAAUUUCUUUUCUUUUUCUUUUAUUUUCUUAUUUUUAUGGCUGCGCCUGCAGUAUAUGGUAGUUCCCAGGCUAGGGGUCAAAUCAGAGCUGCAGGUGCUGGCCUACACCACAGUCACGGCAAUGCCAGAUCCAAGCCACACCUUCGACCUACACCAUAGGUCACACCAACACCAGAUCCUUAACCCACUGAGUGAGGCCAGAGAUUGAACCCAAAUCCUCAUGGAUACUAUUUGGGUUCACUACCACUGAUCCAUGACCAAAACUCCCUAAUUUAUUUUCUUUUCAAAACUUUUUUUGUAUAGAAAGUUUAAAAUGUACUCAAAGGUAGAAUAAUAAAAAUGCAUCCAACUUUCGUUCUAUGAACCCAUCAUUCAGCUACAACAUAAUGCUCAAUCUUGUGAAGCCUGAUGUUUAGUUACCAUUAGUAGCCAGUAAAAUUAAACUCACAUUAUAUGCCAGUAAAUUUUAAAGAUCAAAUAUGAUUGCAUGUUUAUUUACAUAUAUUUUCCUAAAUAAUUUUAUUUUUAUCAGUCAUUAUUCUUCCUCACUCUCAAAUCUGUCUCACUUCUCCAGAACUGAAGCGAGGCCAACCUCUUUCAUAUUUCAAUGGAAGAUGUGGUGGAUUUUAAAUGAAUUAGUUAUUCUCUUCCUAUGACAUUGUGCCUUGCUCCUUUUGUCUGAAAUGUUGCAGAAAAAUACUGAUGAUGGGAAGGAAGCGUUUCCAACAAUAAAACUGAUCCUUUGUCCCUUUGCUCUAACACUAACCAGUGGCAGAAUGAGGGGGACGGGCCAUUCCGUUCUUGUACUAAAGGGAGAAAGAGCUUCAGGAACAAAUAUUACAACCUAAAUGUUUCAAGGUGGGGGGUUUCUUGUACGUAAUAGAUUACUUAUAUAUUUGAUUAUAUAUCUGAAUAAAUUUUUGCAGAGUACAAAUAGUUGGCUGUAUAGAAUUACUAUUUUAAGAUUUAUCAACAUGUAUACCAAUUUGUAGCCAAAUCAUAUUCAUAGGGAGCCUAAAAUAAUAAUUUUUUUAGAAGACAUAAAUUAGCAUGAUGAAGUUGGGUAGAAGUUGUAUGGCUUUAACAAAACUUUGGAAGGAGUUCCCGUUGUGGCUCAGCUGGUUAAGAACACAACUAGUAUCCAGGAGGGUACAGGUUCGAUCCCUGGCCUCGCUCAUGGGUUAAGGAUCCGGCACUGCCGUGAGCUGUGGUGUAGGUCACAGAUGCGGCUUGGAUCUGGCAUUGCUGUGGCUGUGGUGUACGCCGGAGGCUACGGCUCCAGUUGGACCCCUAGUCUGGGAACCUCUAUAUGCUGUGGGUGUGGCCC
rnacentral:lncRNA from 1 species